rnacentral:rRNA from 1 species
AUGUCUCAGNRUAAACGGCUUCUCCCCCAGUGGGUCUGUGAAUGGCUCCUUACAUCAGCAGUGGCCUCCGCGCUGAAGUGUGCAUGGUCCCCACUCUGUCCAGCAGGGAUCCAUUGGGAUAUCCCCGAUAACCUUGUGGCUAAUACGCGGCCUGAACCAGUCUGCCUCAGUGUGGCUUCUGUCAGUAGUGGUCCCUACCCUCCCAGCUGGCCGUGCCAGUGGUGGACCGCGUCCAGCUGCUGGUGAAGACCAGUGCCUGGAACAAAUGGCAGCAUGUCCUGGCUGACUCAGGCUGGUUCCUCCCCGGAACGCCUGCACUGGCAGAGUGGUGGCUCCUGCCACAGCAUUGCUUGAGCGCAUUGGGCUUCUGACCUAUCAGCUUGGAGUGUGGUGUGUUGGACCACACUGGCAGUGACGGGUGACAGAGAAUCAGGGUUCUAUUCUGGAGAGGGAGCCUGAGAGAUGGCUACCACUACCAAGGUGGGCAGCAGGCGCGCAAAUUGCCCACUGCCAAGGCAUGCCCCUGGUGAGGCAGCGACGAACAGCAGCAACCCUGCCUGUCCAUGUGAUGGGUGGGGCUUGCAAUGGGUGCAAUCCAAACACAGUGAUGAGUAUCAACUGGAGGGCAAGUCUGGUGCCAGCAGCCGCGGUAAUUCCAGCUCCAAGGGUGUAUGCUAACAUUGCUGUUGUUAAAACACCUGUAGUCUGAUGCUGGGAACAGGUCUGCCAGUGGCUGGUGGUUCCCUGCUGGUGCUGAGUGGACCGUUCGCGGCAAGCUCACACUGGGGGGGUACUGCUAGAACUCAACCACUGGCAGUAGUGCCUGGACCCUUUGCCUGAAGGCAGUGUGACCUGCUCCUGCUCCAAACCCACUUCACUGUGGGCCUUGAACGGUGGUUGCACCAGCUGCUUGUGUGCUUGACAGGUCAUGGGGCCUGGCCCCUGUGUGCCAGCUGCAACGACCCAGUCCACCACGGGAGCCCACUGCUGUGACACUAUGGAGAACUCAGUGUGCCUCAAGCAGCCAAACUGGCUGAAUGCGCGUCCAUGGAAUGUCGAUGCACCAACCUGCCGUGGCCGAGGAGUUAUACUGGCCUUGGGGCCCAGUGCAGGGGAACACAGCUGUGGCAACUGGGUGUCAGCCCUGGUGUGGGCGGUGGGUCUGCAGAUGGUGGUGGGCACUCCCAGUAGUUGACCCACCACCAGUGUGGCCUGCUGCCCCACUGUGAACCCAGACCUGCCCCAGCCUAUUGUCCGCGAUGGGAGUCUGCUGGGUGCAAGGAAUGCCAGCGCCAGAGGUGAAAUUCUUAGACCGCUGCCAGUCCCACUGUGGCGAAGGCGUUGUGCUAUCAGAUGUUCGUCGAUCAAGGAUGAGAGUGUGGGGAGCAAAGAUGAUCAGACACCGUUGUAGUCCACAACUGUCAACCAUGCCAGCUCUGUGCUGGGCCUGCCAAGCUUCUCUGAACGUGCCCAGCACAAUGCCCCCUGCAACGAGAAAUCCAAGCCUUUGGGUUCAAGGGGGAGUACUGUCGCAAGGCUGAAACUUAAAGGAAUUGACGGAAUGGCACCACAAGGCGUGGAGUAUGCGGCUUAAUUUGACUCAACGCGGGGAAUGUUACCAGGUCAGGACACUGCUUGGAUGGACAGACUGAGAGCUCUUUCCUGAUCCUCUGGAUGGUGGUGCAUGGCCGCUCCUGAUUGGUGGAGUGAUUUGUCUGGUUGAUUCCGAUAACGAGUGAGACAUCUGCCACCGACUAGCCCCAGGCUCGUGCUGUAGGGAUGGUGGCUGCUACCUGCAAGUGGGUCCUCCCACCGACGGUGCUGCACACUGCCUGAGAGCCCUGGGGGAUCGUCUUCUCAGUGGUGCUGUGUCCGCCCAACCAAGGGCAUGCAUGCUAGAGCCAACAGCAGGUCUGUGAUGCUCCCAGAUGUCCUGGGCUGCACGCGCACUACACUGGACUGGUGAAUGGGUGCUGCUACCAAACUGGCAAUUCUGCCUAGACCUGUCCAGGAGUGGAUGGGCAAUCCUGCAGCCCAGCCCGUUGCUGGGGAUAGAUGCUUGCAACUGUCUGCCUUGAACGAGGAAUGCCUAGUAAGUGUGGGUCAUCAGCCCACACUGAUUGCGUCCCUGCCAUUUGUACACACCGCCCGUCGUUGCUACCGAUGGCAGCUGGAUAGAGCCACCUGGAAUGCCCCAGGGGGCCUGCCGCUCGUCUGCAGUGCCCCCUGUGCUGAAUUCUGUCAAUGUCCUGCUGCUAGAGGAAGCAAAA